rnacentral:rRNA from 1 species
GAUGAACGCUGGCGGCGUGCCUAAUACAUGCAAGUCGAGCGAACGGACGAGAAGCUUGCUUCUCUGAUGUUAGCGGCGGACGGGUGAGUAACACGUGGAUAACCUACCUAUAAGACUGGGAUAACUUCGGGAAACCGGAUCUAAUACCGGAUAAUAUUUUGAACCGCAUGGUUCAAUAGUGAAAGACGGUCUUGCUGUCACUUAUAGAUGUAUCCGCGCUGCAUUAGCUAGUUGUUAAGGUAACGGCUUACCAAGGCAACGAUGCAUAGCCGACCUGAGAGGGUGAUCGGCCACACUGGAACUGAGACACGGACCAGACUCCUACGGGAGGCAGCAGUAGGGAAUCUUCCGCAAGGGGCGAAAGCCUGACGGAGCAACGCCGCGUGAGUGAUGAAGGUGUUCGGAUCGUAAAACUCGGUUAUUAGGGAAGAACAUAUGUGUAAGUAACUGUGCACAUCUUGACGGUACCUAAUCAGAAAGCCACGGCUAACUACGUG